AAGAGAGUUAAACAGUACGUGAAAUUGCUGAAAGGGAAACGCUUGAAGUCAGUCGCGUUGGUCGGGGAUCAGCCUUCCUUAUGGUUGGUGCAUUUCCUGAUCAACGGGUCAACAUCAGUUUUGAUCAAUGGAUAAAAGUUUGAGGGAUGUGGCAUCUUCGGGUGUGUUAUAACCUCUUGCUAUAUACAUUGAUUGGGACUGAGGAACUCAGCACGCCGCAA
rnacentral:rRNA from 1 species